UACAAAUUGUAAUGAUUUGGGUGAACAUUAAGUAAAAUUUAUAUCAUUUUGUUAGAUUUAUUGUGUUUUUGAAUAUUCUUACUCAAUUUGGUAUUCCUUUAACUAUUAAAUUUAUUUUUUCUGCAAGAAAUUAAAUAUCUUUAUUACAAAUGAUUUUAUCUGUCAGAAGAUUGUAAUUGCUAACAACAUUAAUUAGCUAAGCAUUCUAAAUUGCUAAAUCUGGGCAUUCUAAACCUGUUUUGGUUUCCAUCCUCGGCAAAGCAUUGCCAAACAAGUGUUGAUUGAGUGGGACAUCAAUCAUCAAAGGACAAUGCACACGACACCAAGAGGUCCAUCUAUCUAUAAAAACAAUAUAUAUAUAUAUAAAAACACAUUGGAGAUGAUAGUUAGGGUUGCCAUGUAUUGCCACUAGGAUUGAAUUCCUUUGUGUUGUUUUGUGUGUUGUUGAGUCCUUUUGGCGAGCAUGAUGUGGUUUAGGUAGGGAAGAGUGCUAGGUCAAUCACCAAAGGCAUGGGCUCGUUGAUUGAUCCAUCCAUCACUCUCUACAACAAAUAGUUUUUUUUUUUUUUUUUUUUUAUUAUUAUUCUUUCUUUCUAGAUUUGACAAUAGUUGUGCGUUUUGUUUUGUUUUUUGUUUUUUGUUUUAUUUUUAUUUUUUUAAAUAUUACAUAAAGGGCUUGAGAAUGGGAUGGGGUUAGAAGUGCCAAUAGGUGGAAGCCAUUUGUGGUCC
rnacentral:lncRNA from 1 species